AUUGAACGCUGGCGGCAGGCCUAACACAUGCAAGUCGAGCGGAUGAAGGGAGCUUUCUCCUGGAUUCAGCGGCGGACGGGUGAGUAAUGCCUAGGAAUCUGCCUGGUAGUGGGGGAUAACGUCCGGAAACGGGCGCUAAUACCGCAUACGUCCUGAGGGUGAAAGUGGGGGAUCUUCGGACCUCACGCUAUCAUAUGAGCCUAGGUCGGAUUAGCUAGUUGGUGGGGUAAAGGCCUACCAAGGCGACGAUCCGUAACUGGUCUGAGAGGAUGAUCAGUCAAACGGGAAGUGAGAAAGGGGACAGAAAACUACGGGAGGAAGCAGAGGGGAAUAUGGGACAAUGGGGGAAAGAAUGAAACAGGAAAGACGAGGGUGUGAAGAAGGACUGAGGAUUGUAAAGCAAUUUAAGUUGGGAGGAAGGGAAGUAAGUUAAUACCUUGAUGUAUUGACGUUAACAACAGAAUAAGCAACGGCUAACUUCGUG
rnacentral:rRNA from 1 species